GGUUAAGCGACUAAGCGUACACGGUGGAUGCCCUGGCAGUCAGAGGCGAUGAAGGACGUGCUAAUCUGCGAUAAGCGUCGGUAAGGUGAUAUGAACCGUUAUAACCGGCGAUUUCCGAAUGGGGAAACCCAGUGUGUUUCGACACACUAUCAUUAACUGAAUCCAUAGGUUAAUGAGGCGAACCGGGGAACUGAAACAUCUAAGUACCCCGAGGAAAAGAAAUCAACCGAGAUUCCCCCAGUAGCGGCGAGCGAACGGGGAGCAGCCCAGAGCCUGAAUCAGUGUGUGUGUUAGUGGAAGCGUCUGGAAAGGCGCGCGAUACAGGGUGACAGCCCCGUACACAAAAAUGCACAUGCUGUGAGCUCGAUGAGUAGGGCGGGACACGUGGUAUCCUGUCUGAAUAUGGGGGGACCAUCCUCCAAGGCUAAAUACUCCUGACUGACCGAUAGUGAACCAGUACCGUGAGGGAAAGGCGAAAAGAACCCCGGCGAGGGGAGUGAAAAAGAACCUGAAACCGUGUACGUACAAGCAGUGGGAGCACGCUUAGGCGUGUGACUGCGUACCUUUUGUAUAAUGGGUCAGCGACUUAUAUUCUGUAGCAAGGUUAACCGAAUAGGGGAGCCGAAGGGAAACCGAGUCUUAACUGGGCGUUAAGUUGCAGGGUAUAGACCCGAAACCCGGUGAUCUAGCCAUGGGCAGGUUGAAGGUUGGGUAACACUAACUGGAGGACCGAACCGACUAAUGUUGAAAAAUUAGCGGAUGACUUGUGGCUGGGGGUGAAAGGCCAAUCAAACCGGGAGAUAGCUGGUUCUCCCCGAAAGCUAUUUAGGUAGCGCCUCGUGAAUUCAUCUCCGGGGGUAGAGCACUGUUUCGGCAAGGGGGUCAUCCCGACUUACCAACCCGAUGCAAACUGCGAAUACCGGAGAAUGUUAUCACGGGAGACACACGGCGGGUGCUAACGUCCGUCGUGAAGAGGGAAACAACCCAGACCGCCAGCUAAGGUCCCAAAGUCAUGGUUAAGUGGGAAACGAUGUGGGAAGGCCCAGACAGCCAGGAUGUUGGCUUAGAAGCAGCCAUCAUUUAAAGAAAGCGUAAUAGCUCACUGGUCGAGUCGGCCUGCGCGGAAGAUGUAACGGGGCUAAACCAUGCACCGAAGCUGCGGCAGCGACGCUGAUGCGUUGUUGGGUAGGGGAGCGUUCUGUAAGCCUGUGAAGGUGUGCUGUGAGGCAUGCUGGAGGUAUCAGAAGUGCGAAUGCUGACAUAAGUAACGAUAAAGCGGGUGAAAAGCCCGCUCGCCGGAAGACCAAGGGUUCCUGUCCAACGUUAAUCGGGGCAGGGUGAGUCGACCCCUAAGGCGAGGCCGAAAGGCGUAGUCGAUGGGAAACAGGUUAAUAUUCCUGUACUUGGUGUUACUGCGAAGGGGGGACGGAGAAGGCUAUGUUGGCCGGGCGACGGUUGUCCCGGUUUAAGCGUGUAGGCUGGUUUUCCAGGCAAAUCCGGAAAAUCAAGGCUGAGGCGUGAUGACGAGGCACUACGGUGCUGAAGCAACAAAUGCCCUGCUUCCAGGAAAAGCCUCUAAGCAUCAGGUAACAUCAAAUCGUACCCCAAACCGACACAGGUGGUCAGGUAGAGAAUACCAAGGCGCUUGAGAGAACUCGGGUGAAGGAACUAGGCAAAAUGGUGCCGUAACUUCGGGAGAAGGCACGCUGAUAUGUAGGUGAAGUCCCUUGCGGAUGGAGCUGAAAUCAGUCGAAGAUACCAGCUGGCUGCAACUGUUUAUUAAAAACACAGCACUGUGCAAACACGAAAGUGGACGUAUACGGUGUGACGCCUGCCCGGUGCCGGAAGGUUAAUUGAUGGGGUCAGCGCAAGCGAAGCUCUUGAUCGAAGCCCCGGUAAACGGCGGCCGUAACUAUAACGGUCCUAAGGUAGCGAAAUUCCUUGUCGGGUAAGUUCCGACCUGCACGAAUGGCGUAAUGAUGGCCGGGCUGUCUCCACCCGAGACUCAGUGAAAUUGAACUCGCUGUGAAGAUGCAGUGUACCCGCGGCAAGACGGAAAGACCCCGUGAACCUUUACUAUAGCUUGACACUGAACAUUGAGCCUUGAUGUGUAGGAUAGGUGGGAGGCUUUGAAGUGUGGACGCCAGUCUGCAUGGAGCCGACCUUGAAAUACCACCCUUUAAUGUUUGAUGUUCUAACGUUGACCCGUAAUCCGGGUUGCGGACAGUGUCUGGUGGGUAGUUUGACUGGGGCGGUCUCCUCCUAAAGAGUAACGGAGGAGCACGAAGGUUGGCUAAUCCUGGUCGGACAUCAGGAGGUUAGUGCAAUGGCAUAAGCCAGCUUGACUGCGAGCGUGACGGCGCGAGCAGGUGCGAAAGCAGGUCAUAGUGAUCCGGUGGUUCUGAAUGGAAGGGCCAUCGCUCAACGGAUAAAAGGUACUCCGGGGAUAACAGGCUGAUACCGCCCAAGAGUUCAUAUCGACGGCGGUGUUUGGCACCUCGAUGUCGGCUCAUCACAUCCUGGGGCUGAAGUAGGUCCCAAGGGUAUGGCUGUUCGCCAUUUAAAGUGGUACGCGAGCUGGGUUUAGAACGUCGUGAGACAGUUCGGUCCCUAUCUGCCGUGGGCGCUGGAGAACUGAGGGGGCUGCUCCUAGUACGAGAGGACCGGAGUGGACGCAUCACUGGUGUUCGGGUUGUCAUGCCAAUGGCACUGCCCGGUAGCUAAAUGCGGAAGAGAUAAGUGCUGAAAGCAUCUAAGCACGAAACUUGCCCCGAGAUGAGUUCUCCCUGACUCCUUGAGAGUCCUGAAGGAACGUUGAAGACGACGACGUUGAUAGGCCGGGUGUGUAAGCGCAGCGAUGCGUUGAGCUAACCGGUACUAAUGAACCGUGAGGCUUAACCUU
rnacentral:rRNA from 1 species